UCAUGCUUGCCGGGGAGUCAGCGGUGCCCUGUUACCUGCAAUCCGCUGCAGCAGGGGUCAAAUGCCGGUAGAGGUCGGCAACCGUGCAGCUGCGUACGGCGGAAGCCGUUGAAGGAUGGGUCUUGUGCGAUCUGCUCUUGUGAAUCAUGUCAGGUGAGGGAUCAAGCAGCAUUAAGCAAGCAGGCGGAUGUGCCGCAAGAGCGCCUGUCCCGAGGCGGAAACCGUAUUCCCGUGUGUGUUUGCCGCACAAUGCCGGAAUGUAUGG
rnacentral:SRP_RNA from 1 species